CCUACGGGAGGCAGCAGUAGGGAAUCUUUCACAAUGGGCGAAAGCCUGAUGGAGCAACGCCGCGUGCAGGAUGAAGGCCUUCUGGUUGUAAACUUCUUUUAUAAGCGAGAAAUAUUUUGGUAACUUAUUAAUAACGAUCGGCUAAUAACGUUCCAGCAGCCGCGGUCAUACGUAGGAUCCGGGCAUUAUCCGGAGUGACUGGGUGUAAAGAGUUGCGUAGGUGGCAUAAUAAGUAGCUGGUGGAAUCUGGUGGCUCAACAAAUAAGACUAUUAGCUAAACUGUUAAGCUCGAGACCGUUAGAGGCAGGUGGAAUUUCUAGUGUAGGAGUGAAAUGCGUAGAUAUUAGAAAGAACACCAAUAGCGUAGGCAGGAUGCUGGGACGGGUCUGACACUGAGGCACGAAAGCGUAGGGAGCAAACGGGAUUAGAUACCCCUGUAGUC
rnacentral:rRNA from 1 species